rnacentral:rRNA from 1 species
CGCGGCCUAUCAGCUUGUUGGUGGGGUAACGGCCCACCAAGGCGACGACGGGUAGCCGGCCUGAGAGGGCGACCGGCCACACUGGGACUGAGACACGGCCCAGACUCCUACGGGAGGCAGCAGUGGGGAAUAUUGCGCAAUGGGCGAAAGCCUGACGCAGCGACGCCGCGUGAGGGAUGACGGCCUUCGGGUUGUAAACCUCUUUCAGCAGGGAAGAAGCGAAAGUGACGGUACCUGCAGAAGAAGCACCGGCUAACUACGUGCCAGCAGCCGCGGUAAUACGUAGGGUGCAAGCGUUGUCCGGAAUUAUUGGGCGUAAAGAGCUCGUAGGCGGUCUGUCGCGUCGGACGUGAAAAUCCAGGGCUCAACCCUGGACCUGCGUUCGAUACGGGCAGACUAGAGUUCGGUAGGGGAGACUGGAAUUCCUGGUGUAGCGGUGAAAUGCGCAGAUAUCAGGAGGAACACCGGUGGCGAAGGCGGGUCUCUGGGCCGAUACUGACGCUGAGGAGCGAAAGCGUGGGGAGCGAACGGGAUUAGAUACCCUGGUAGUCCACGCCGUAAACGUUGGGCGCUAGGUGUGGGGAACCUUCCACGUUCUCCGUGCCGCAGCUAACGCAUUAAGCGCCCCGCCUGGGGAGUACGG